UGGGGAAUAUUGGACAAUGGGCGAAAGCCUGAUCCAGCCAUGCCGCGUGUGUGAAGAAGGUCUUCGGAUUGUAAAGCACUUUAAGUUGGGAGGAAGGGCAGUAAGCGAAUACCUUGCUGUUUUGACGUUACCGACAGAAUAAGCACCGGCUAACUCUGUGCCAGCAGCCGCGGUAAUACAGAGGGUGCAAGCGUUAAUCGGAAUUACUGGGCGUAAAGCGCGCGUAGGUGGUUCGUUAAGUUGAAUGUGAAAGCCCCGGGCUCAACCUGGGAACUGCAUCCAAAACUGGCGAGCGAGAGUAGGGCAGAGGGUGGUGGAAUUUCCUAUGUAGCGGUGAAAUGCGUAGAUAUAGGAAGGAACACCAGUGGCGAAGGCGACCACCUGGGCUCAUACUGACACUGAGGUGCGAAAGCGUGGGGAGCAAACAGG
rnacentral:rRNA from 1 species